rnacentral:rRNA from 1 species
AAUGAACGCUGGCGGUAUGCCUAAUACAUGCAAGUCGAACGGCAACACAGUAAGCUCUCUCCUCUACGGUUAGCGACUGGCGGAUGGGUGACGCAUACAUCGCCAUCUACUUUUACUUGGGUGAUUUCGUAGAGAAACUGACACUAAUACCUCAUAUGUUCUACCGCUUAAAUCAAUAGAUCUUCACACCUUUGCUAUCACAUAUGGCUGUAUCCGCGCCGCAUUAUCUAGUUGUUAAGGUACAGGCAUACCAAGGCAACGAUCCGUAUCUGAUCUGAGAGGAUGAUCAGCCACACUGGAACUGAGACACGGUCCAGACUCCUACGGGAGGCAGCAGUAGGGAAUAUUCGGCAAUGGGCGAAAGCCUGAUGGAGCAACGCCGCGUGAGUGAAGAAGGUCUUCGGAUUGUAAAGCUCUUUUAUUAGGAAAGAACAAAAGCGUAUGUAAACAUGGCUGUUCUGACGGUACCUAAACAGAAAGCACCGGCUAACUACGUG